rnacentral:rRNA from 1 species
CCUGAUGCAGCAACGCCGCGUGAGGGAUGACGGCCUUCGGGUUGUAAACCUCUUUUAGUAGGGAAGAAGGGAGCUUGCUCUUGACGGUACCUGCAGAAAAAGCACCGGCUAACUACGUGCCAGCAGCCGCGGUAAUACGUAGGGUGCAAGCGUUGUCCGGAAUUAUUGGGCGUAAAGAGCUCGUAGGCGGUUUGUCGCGUCUGCUGUGAAAUCCCGAGGCUCAACCUCGGGCUUGCAGUGGGUACGGGCAGACUAGAGUGCGGUAGGGGAGAUUGGAAUUCCUGGUGUAGCGGUGGAAUGCGCAGAUAUCAGGAGGAACACCGAUGGCGAAGGCAGAUCUCUGGGCCGUAACUGACGCUGAGGAGCGAAAGCGUGGGGAGCGAACAGGAUUAGAUACCCUGGUAGUCCACGCCGUAAACGUUGGGCGCUAGAUGUAGGGACCUUUCCACGGUUUCUGUGUCGUAGCUAACGCAUUAAGCGCCCCGCCUGGGGAGUACGGCCGCAAGGCUAAAACUCAAAGGAAUUGACGGGGGCCCGCACAAGCGGCGGAGCAUGCGGAUUAAUUCGAUGCAACGCGAAGAACCUUACCAAGGCUUGACAUACACCGGAAACGGCCAGAGAUGGUCGCCCCC